rnacentral:piRNA from 4 species
UGACCACGGGUGACGGGGAAUCAGG